rnacentral:rRNA from 1 species
UACGUAGGGGGCGAGCGUUGUCCGGAUUUACUGGGCGUAAAGCGCGUGUAGGCGGCUGCUUAAGUCGGGUGUGAAAGCCCGGGGCUCAACCCCGGGAUGCCGCCCCGAGACUGGGCGGCUUGAGGUCGGAAGAGGGGAGUGGAAUUCCAGGUGUAGCGGUGAAAUGCGUAGAGAUCUGGAGGAACACCCGUGGCGAAGGCGGCUCCCUGGUCCGAUUCUGACGCUGAGACGCGAAAGCGCGGGGAGCGAACGGG